UACGUAGGGGGCAAGCGUUAUCCGGAUUUACUGGGUGUAAAGGGAGCGUAGACGGCCAUGCAAGUCUGAUGUGAAAACCCGGGGCUCAACCCCGGGACUGCAUUGGAAACUGUGCGGCUGGAGUGUCGGAGAGGCAAGUGGAAUUCCUAGUGUAGCGGUGAAAUGCGUAGAUAUUAGGAGGAACACCAGUGGCGAAGGCGGCUUGCUGGGCCAUUACUGACGCUGAGACACGAAAGCGUGGGGAGCAAAUAGG
rnacentral:rRNA from 1 species